rnacentral:rRNA from 1 species
CCAGAUACCACCCUGAACGCGCCCCAUCUCGUCUGAUCUUGGAAGCUAAGCAGGGUCGGGCCUGGUUAGUACUUGGAUGGGAGACCACUGCUAUUUAAUAUGGUCCUGGA